rnacentral:lncRNA from 1 species
UAGGAUGGGAAGAUUGAUCAGUAGGUCCAGGGGUGACAGCUUGAUCCCUCUCCUGUAAAGACUUUUAUCAACUAACUCAUCUGAUUGGCGAACCACGGAAUGCAGCCACUUCUAACCACUGUUGCCACCACCGCUGUGGUCAAAGCCACCCCCAUCUCUCACCUGGAGUAUUGCAACCAUCUUCUUACCUGUCACCUGUUUCUGCUCUUGCUCCUCAAUGGUUUCUUCUCAAUAAAGUAGCCAGAGGGAUUCUUUAGAAACUUGGGUCCCAAGAUGUUACUCUUCUGCUCUCUUUCUCUCCCAUUGCUUCCUAACCCACCCAGAGUAACGUGGCCUUGUGCACUGGCCUCUUAGGUCUCAGGGAUCUAGCCCUACCUCAUCUCUGUCCACCCUGCCCUUCUCUCUCCAUGCCAGCUGCCAGCUGCACUGGCCUCCUUCCUGUGUCUCCCGCCCUCCAAGCACACUUCCUCAUCUGACCUUUGCACUUACAGCUCCUUUGUCUGCAAUAUCCUUCCCUAGAGAGCUGCCCUCGCAUCUGUCCUUCCUUCCAGUCUCUACUUCAAUGUCGUCUUCCCAAUGAGACCUCCCCUGAUUACUCCGCAUAAAAUUAUAACUCUUAUCUUGGUGUUGCUUCUCAACUUUCCCUGCUUUAUUUGGCUCCACAGCACAUAAAACUGAGUAAUUUUACAUACUUCCUCAUGUCCUUAUUCUUUGCCUCCUCGCCUAGGAUGUAAGUCACAUGAAGGUGGGGACUUUAUUUUGUCUUACUUCACUGCCUGCGUGUGCGUUAAAUGACUGAUGAAGAGCUGUGUGCUAAUGCUGAGAAACUCCUGACGAGGCUGAACUUGAGUGUACAGUCAACGAGUACGGUACUUGAGGGCCGCGAGGUUUGGAAUGAACUCCUGAAGAAUACAGAGGACGAGCAUCUGAAAUCUCCACUUCCCGUGAUUAAGCAGGCAGCAGGAUAUGCCUUUGCCACGCCUAUCUAAUGGCGAAAAAGGAAAACCUGGAUUCUCCUGAGUGGGCACCUGAAAGAGACUCUGCACAUGGGGCUGGAGGAAAUGUACACCCCACACUCCUGCGCUUCUGCCCAGGUAAAGCCUCAGUCACUCUGGCUUCAAGGACACGCUCUCACCCUUGAAUGUUCUAGCUCAGUUGAGGAGCUGUGACUCUUCUCUCAGUAGCCUGUGGCUCUGCUGGUUUAAGAUCAAAACAUUCUAUUUAUUUGUUAUCAACCUGAAUUUUCCUGAACAGAUUAUAAAAGGAAAGUCUAAACGGUCUAUUCCUCGGUCUGUGUCCCCCAGCCCCCCAGCCCUCCUUCCAUGAGGUGACCAGCGUAACUGAUUUCUUUAUAUCCUCUCAGAGACAUUCUACACUUAGACAAAUACUGAUAAGAUUCCCCUUUUCACAAACAUGGUAGCACACUGCACACGCUUCCACAAGUGGCCCUUCCCCUUAGGCUGUCUUGGAAAUCCUCCAGCACGCAAAGUUCCUCAUUCUUUUCUGAUAGCUGCAUAAUGACCCAUUGUAUGGCUGUACCA